GUAAUCCCUUAAAAUAUUGGGUAGUCACGUGGGUGUCUAACCAAUUUUCCACUACACUAUUCAUCUAUCUCUUUCCUGCGAACACUUUUGGUUACCAGACAAAAAUAUUAUCGCUUCAAAAAUGUACUCGAGCUCUCAUCCAUUCCUCUUCUUUGCUUUUGUCGAGCUGGUUUCCAAUUUCACUGUGAUUUUCAAUUCAAAUCUUCCAUAUUUUGAAUUCAAAUCUCUGUUGUGCUUUCAUUUGGCGUGUGGACAAAUCUUCCAUUCACUGUCUGUUUUUAGGGAUGUUUAUUUCUUUCCUCAUCUGUACUGCUUUGCCACUGGGUCUUCAUUUGACCAGCAAUUUGAAUUCAAAAUACAUUCUAGGUUCAUUUUCAACUCUGCACAAGAAGAGGAAUUCAUCCAUCUCAUCUCUCCUUGAAAGAGGGUACUUAUGAUCAUCUGAAGCUUGACAAUUUUCCAUCCUUAAACAGUGAUGGUUCUGGUUCUGCAUCUAAAAGAAGAAGGCAGGUGUUUCAUAGCAAUACUAGAAAAUACUCAGCGAGAUGAAGGGGGUUUGCUGGCUUCCUGAAGCAUGAAAGUUUAUAAGAUAUUAGCAGAAGAGUGAAUAUACAGGAGAAACUAGCUUUCUCUUAUGGCUUCUUAACGAGACACUUACAUGCUGAAAUAUAUAUCAACUACAUCAGAGAUAAUGCCUAUAAACUAGGAACUACUACCUGCAUCCUACAAACACUCCACAACUCAAACAACUGCUGGAAACCGUCCACUACACUAUGACACUACAAUACUUCUUAAUAAUAUUCUAAAAAGAAGUUUAGACUAAUUUCCAACAAUCUCCCCCUUAGUCUAAACUUGUCUCAUGCAUUCCUUCCGGCCCGUAUGGCUAAUAAUCUGAGCCCGUAUGGCUAAUCAACUGAGUCCGUAUGGCUAAUAAUCUUAGCAUGUAUGGCUAUUCAACUGAGCACGUAUGGCUAAUAAUCUGAGCCCGUAUGGCUAAUAAUCUGACUAUAACAACGAUGGUUCAUCAUCCUCGACCACUGCCAUGUUUACUCCUGGCCUCUUCUCUCUUUCCCGUCUUGAUUUGCUACAUUUUGAUGCAUAGUGACCCAAGGUGUUACAGUAGUAGCACCUGAUCUUACUCUUGUCACGAAAAUAAUUACCUCUAGUUCUUUGAUUCUGAGAUGCCAAGAGAAGUUGUUUUCUGUCUGCACUCUAAGACCUGCCAUUUAUCCUCUCCUCGUGAGCUUUAAGACGACCCACUAAGUCUUCAACCAUCAUAGUUUUCAUGUCUCCCAACUGUUCGAUAUUUGAAGCUAUCUGAAGGAAUUUAUCAGGGACUGCGCGUAGGAUCUUCCUCACAACGCUUGACUCCUCCAUCACUUCUCCAAGAACCCGUAUGUUGGUUGCUAUCCCGCUCAGCUUCAUACAAAAAUCAUCGAUGUAAUCUGUCUCCUUCAUGGUAAGAGACUCAAACUCCCCAUUUAACGUUUGUACGAUAGCCUCCUUCACUCGUUCUGCUCCUACACUCAUCGUUUUAAUGGCUUCCCAAGCUUCCUUUGCGGGUUCUUUCUCAGCAAUAGUCAGCAGUACGUCUUCUAGCACACCUUGGUAUAUAGCUGCAAGAGCUAUCUGUACCGUCCUCUCAUCAACAGCAAUCUUUGGGUCUCCUUCGAUCGCACCCCAAACACCUUGCGCCUUCAUGAAAACCUUCAUUUUCAAGGACCAUGUUGUAUAGUUACUUUUCGUUAGCAUUGGAUAGAUUAAACCCACAGAGCCUUCUUUUGUCUUGGUUAUUUCCAUGGUUACGUUUGUGUGUCUAGUUUGAUAUUUAGGCAUACAAAACCUGAACACCAGGCUCUGAUACCAAGUGAAGCAUGAAAGUUUAUAAGAUAUUAGCAGAAGAGUGAAUAUACUGGAUAAACUAGCUUUUUCUUAUUGCUUCUCAACGAGACACUUACAUGCUGAAAUAUAUAUCAACUACAUCAGAUAUAAUGCCUAUAAACUAGGAACUACUACCUGUAUCCUACAAACACUCCACAACUCAAACAACUGCUGGAAACCUUCCACUACUCUAUGACACUACAAUGCUGCUUAAUAAUAUUCUAAAAACAAGUUUAGACUAAUUUCCAACACUGCCAAUAUUCCAGAUUGUUUUGUUACUCCUAGACGUCCUUCAUCUCUUCCAUCAAUUCAGAGUAUGGGAUAUAAAGUUUCAUGUUCUCAUUUUGUUUAAUUUUAUAAGUUACAAAAUGGAGAUGAAUUUAGUAGCCCAUGUUCUCAAGUUAAUGGUCGAUUUCAUUUCUAUAGAUGAUAUUAAAACUCUUCCAUAUUGUAUGAGCACUAAAUUAAUAUUAAGAUGGAUGGCAUUUUUCCCAGGUGCCUACACCAAUGCUAAUCAUGGUGUUCUACACGGAAGUCGUGGAAAAUCAGGGAAUUCUGAAAAAUUAGUGAUGAGAACACCUUCAAGAAGUACUGCAUGUUUUCGACUUGAAUGCACCAGCAACUUCAACUGAACGACCUCCACUCUCAGAUUUGACCAAUCAAAGUUUUAGACCAAACGGUGCCGACACCAAUGAUAAUUAUCUUGGUUUUCUACACGGAAUUUGUGGAAAAUCGUGGAACUCAGAGUCAAUAGUUUGGAAAACACUUGCCAGAGAUAUAUCAUUUCUUCAAAUUUCUCAAUAGUUAUAACCUAAUUGUCAUUAAUGGACUUAGUGACAACAACCCACUCAAAGUAGAUUGCCCACCCAAUCCGGUGAGGGAUAUUGGUAAAGGAGCAAGACAUGCAUGGCAUUUUGAUCAACCACCCCAAGGAUUGGAAUGUUUCUUUACAUGGAAUCAUCAGAAAACAAAGAUAAAAAAUAUAUUCGCCAACAAUGACGUUUACUUUCUUGCAAGAAAUGAGGCUAUUUUUAAAGCUGAUAAAGACAUUCCUUUUAAAAACCCGAAUAUUGGUUGGAACGCAAGAGCUGCAUGGCACGAUGAAGCCGAUUUUGACACACCCUCCUGUGAACUCUCCGGUUCAUGCGAAUCAGAUUAAUGUAACUUAGGGGGACGGAGAAGGGUCAAUCAAUUAUUUAUUAGUCAGAAAUAAAUUGUUUGGAAAUUAAAGAUAAAAUUCAUUUUAUCAAAGAUGUAAGAUUGUGAUGCAUAAUGUCUAGUUGAAUAAGAGUGUCCCGCAUGUUUGUUUUAAAUUUCAGAUUUUGGUGGAAUUCACGUCAGAGCAUACUAAGCUCUUGUUUGGAAGAGCUCUUAAAAUAUCAGAACAAAAGACAGUAGAAUAUGUAAAUUUUCUCUCCAUGCUAUGUGAGAGUCGUUUUUUCUCUCUCUCUCUGAUCAAACACAUAGUCAGUGAGUUUGAUUUCGUGUAAGCCUUAAUAGCAAUGUCUCGGUAUCAAGAUCUCAGUGUCCAUAUGUCUAGUCUAGCAAUCGAUGAAGAGGAGAAUGUUGCGCUCGUUAUUGAGGGUAAUGUUGAUGAGGAAAGUAAUAAGUAUGAACUUUGUGCAGUAGGAAGAUUUCUUACGGAGAAAACUGUUAAUGUCCGAGCAAUGAAGUCCAAAAUGGCUAAUGUGUGGAAGCCAGCCAUGGGUGUCAAUAUAAAAGAGCUUGAAACAGGGAUAUUUUUGUUUCAGUCCUAUCACAAGGAAGACUUGAACUGGGUUCUAAACGGUGGUCCGUGGUCUUUUGACAAUGUGAUGCUUAUUCUUGAUUCUAUUUCGCAGGGGGAGGAACCCCUAUCACCUCCACUCUGGCAUCUAAAAAUCUGGAUACAAAUUCAUGUUUACCAACAGGGUAUAUGUCGGAGUCUGUAGGCAAGCAAUUGGGAGAUUUCUUCGGAGAUUUUUUGGAGUAUGACCAUAAGAACAAUUCAAGUAUCUGGAGGGAAUGUAUGAGAAUCAGGAUACUUAUUGAUGUCAGGAAGCCUCUUAAGUGAUGGAAGAAGAUAACAAGGAAGAAUGGAAAGGAGGUGGUAGUCAAUUGUAAGUAUGAAAGAUUGGGGGAAUUUUGCUUUACUUGUGGACUGGUGUCACAUACAGAACGUUAUUAUAGAAAAUUUCUUGAUAAAUCUGAUGAAGUGGUUGCUAAAGAAUGGGGGGUGGUUACGAGCACUGCCGAGGAGGUUGGCCGGUCCGGCGAGGAGUAAAUGGCUUCGCGAGGAAGACUACGCAAAUUGGGUGGACAUGAUUGGUAGGGGCAACAGUUUCCCAAAAUCAGGGGAGGGUAGUUACGCAAAAGAAGGAAAUACAGCUGGUUAUGGGAGUAUUUACGGAAGUCAAGAUAAGGCGAAACAAAGUGCAGUUAUACCAAAUCAAAAGAUUACGCCAAGCACUAAAUUAGAGGGAGUAGACACUUUUUCAAAUCCCGUUUAUGGGAUGGACGAAGAAGAGUUGGAUGGGCUUAAUUUAGUGGAAAGAAAACGUAUGAGGGGAGGCCCAUAUGUUUAUGACAUAAUGGACACUUCAGGUGGUUUAAAAGCUAGGGAGGUUAGUUUUACAAAAGACAUUUCAUCAGAAGCUACUCUUUCUGGAAUUGAUUGUGCAACUUCUUCAACAACUGUUUUGGCUACGCUUGCUAUGCAAGCCAUC